AUGCGUAGUGUCAUUGUGGAUGUGGGGCCACGCGGCGUGAUACGCGUUGUUAAAUUACCGCCUGAAGUGGCCAGGUCGCGCCCCCGUGAACCUGGACGCCAUGGGUGCUUCUCUUUUGAACGAUUGUUCGGAUCGUGGGUCUCCGUGUACCCUUCUCCGAUCCCCGUUUGGUACUCAAUCCAUCGACCCAGGACUUCUGCACUGAAUGGGCCUAUCUGCACUACAAUGCACCAUCCACAAAGAAUGCCAGGUGGGUUUCUGGUACACUACGCCAUGGAAGCCCAUUUCCGGCCGAGCUGCCCUCCUCGUCGGCCGAGCUGGGAUGGUGCACUCUGCACCGGCCCAGCAUCAAAAGCCCUUCGCAACGGCCCGACCUCUUCUAUCAAUCGAAGCGACCUGGGUGGCGGCUCCUGCUUCGCUCUCGCAAUCUUCCCUCCUCCUCCUCCUCCUCCGAAGAGCGACGGCGGCGGCUGCGGGCGAACGGCGGAUCCACCGGCGGAAGGCGAACAGAGAAGCCACAAGGAGAAGGCAAGAAGGGUUUGGAAGAAGGCAAUCCGCGAGUCCACCCGCAGAAGGCUAGCCGCGAGUCCACCUGCAGAAGGCUAG
rnacentral:rRNA from 1 species